GAUGAACGCUGGCGGCGUGCUUAACACAUGCAAGUCGAACGAAGCACUUUAUUUGAUUUCCUUCGGGACUGAUUAUUUUGUGACUGAGUGGCGGACGGGUGAGUAACGCGUGGGUAACCUGCCUUGUACAGGGGGAUAACAGUUGGAAACGGCUGCUAAUACCGCAUAAGCGCACGGCAUCGCAUGAUGCAGUGUGAAAAACUCCGGUGGUAUAAGAUGGACCCGCGUUGGAUUAGCUAGUUGGUGAGGUAACGGCCCACCAAGGCGACGAUCCAUAGCCGACCUGAGAGGGUGACCGGCCACAUUGGGACUGAGACACGGCCCAAACUCCUACGGGAGGCAGCAGUGGGGAAUAUUGCACAAUGGGCGAAAGCCUGAUGCAGCGACGCCGCGUGAGCGAUGAAGUAUUUCGGUAUGUAAAGCUCUAUCAGCAGGGAAGAUAAUGACGGUACCUGACUAAGAAGCACCGGCUAAAUACGUGCCAGCAGCCGCGGUAAUACGUAUGGUGCAAGCGUUAUCCGGAUUUACUGGGUGUAAAGGGAGCGCAGGCGGUGCGGCAAGUCUGAUGUGAAAGCCCGGGGCUCAACCCCGGUACUGCAUUGGAAACUGUCGUACCAGAGUGUCGGAGGGGUAAGCGGAAUUCCUAGUGUAGCGGUGAAAUGCGUAGAUAUUAGGAGGAACACCAGUGGCGAAGGCGGCUUACUGGACGAUAACUGACGCUGAGGCUCGAAAGCGUGGGGAGCAA
rnacentral:rRNA from 1 species